rnacentral:rRNA from 1 species
CCCGCUGAACUUAAGCAUAUCAAUAAGCGGAGGAAAAGAAACCAACCGGGAUUACCUCAGUAACGGCGAGUGAAGCGGUAAAAGCUCAAAUUUGAAAUCUGACUUCGGUCCGAGUUGUAAUUUGUAGAGGAUAAUUCGGCGUUGACUUUGGUCCAAGUUUUCUGGAACGAAACAUCUUGGAGGGUGAGAAUCCCGUACGAUCAAUUGUUAUUGCCAUGUGAAUUUCCUUCGAAGAGUCGAGUUGUUUGGGAAUGCAGCUCAAAAUUGGUGGUAAAUUCCAUCUAAAGCUAAAUAUUGGCCAGAGACCGAUAGCGCACAAGUAGAGUGAUCGAAAGAUGAAAAGCACUUUGGAAAGAGAGUGAAACAGUACGUGAAAUUGUUGAAAGGGAAGCGCUUGCAAUCAGACUUGUUUACAGUUGUUCCACUUGUUACUCACAAGUUUACUCUUCUGUCUUCAGGCCAACAUCAAUUUCAGUGGCUGGAUAAAGGCUUUGGGAAUGUAGCUCCUCGGAGUGUUAUAGCCCUUUGCACAAUACAGCCUACCGGGAUUGAGGUCAGCGUUCGCUAGGAUGUUGGCGUAAUGGUUGUCAGCGGCCCGUCUUGAAACACGG